rnacentral:tRNA from 1 species
UUCUGAUGGCUCAGAUGGUAAAGAAUCUGCUUGCAAUGCAGGAGACCUGGGUUCAACCCCCGGAUCAGGAA